UGCGUAGGCGGAACUUUAAGUCAGUGGUGAAAUCCUGCGGCUCAACCGUAGAACUGCCAUUGAUACUGAUGUUCUUGAAUGCAGUUGAGGUAGGCGGAAUGUGUAAUGUAGCGGUGAAAUGCUUAGAUAUUACACAGAACACCGAUUGCGAAGGCAGCUUGCUAAACUGUGAUUGACGCUGAUGCACGAAAGCGUGGGGAGCGAACAGGAUUAGAUACCCUGGUAGUCC
rnacentral:rRNA from 1 species